rnacentral:lncRNA from 1 species
UGCACUUUCAUAGCCUAGUGCCUUCUACCAGAGCCUCUUGAUAUAUUCACAUAAAUGAUGGAAGAUGCAUGAGACGUGAAGGUGACAUGUGCAGUCUCCAGGAGGAAACUGAUGCCCUGGUUGCUCGCUAAGGAGCCAUCCUGGCGUCAGCGGCAUACGCAGCCAUGCGGCUGCCCUCCCAGCUGGAAGGAAGGAGAGACUGGGUCUUGCUAUGUUGCCCAGGCUAGAGUGCAGUGGCUAUUCACAGGCACAAUCAUCACACACUACAGCCUUGAACUCCUGGCUUCAAAUGAUCCUCCCACUUCAGCCUCCUGAGUAGCUGAGACUACAGGCUGGCACCACUGCACCCAGCCUGAAAUCUUAAACUUUCUAUUCUAAAAAGGGUUCAAUUGGAAAAAUGUUGUUGACUUUCAUUAUAACCAAUUAUGUACUUAUAAGUAGUACAUCUUUCAUAAUAUCAGAAACAUGACAUAACAAAGAAUAAGCUUCUACAGUAUGAAAUCCCCCCACUGCCAUGUAACUCACCUUAUCUUGCUUUGUGUACCCAUGUUUUAAUCUUCCAGUUUGAAC